CCUCCGAGCCCCGGACUUUAGCUGCCCCUUCCUGCUGCAGACGGAUGCCUCCGACACAGGACUGGGAGCCGUCCUGUCACAGAUCCAGGAGGAUGGCUGGGCUCUU